AUGGCGGGCGCUCUCGCAAUCGCCGCCGCCGCCGGUUCUUACGAUCGCGAUUGGGCGGGGCUGCCGGAGGAAAUACUCCUGAUGUUCAUGCGGGAGCUGGAGAUCCCCGACCUCGUCCGCUCAGGUGCUGUCUGCGCCUCGUGGCAUGCUGUUUACCUAGCCGUCCGCCGCCAUCGCUUCCCCCUUCCGAUCCCCCGGAAUCAGCUGCCCUGCCUGCUCUACGCAUGCCGCGAUUCCGCCGCAGACGGCGCCGUCGUCCGCUGCCCCUUCACCGGUGAUUCCGUCCGAGUCCCCCUUCCGCUGCCCCCGCUCACCCGCCAUUCCACGGUCGGCUCCGCGCACGGCUGGCUCGUCACCGCCGACGAGGCCUCGAACCUCCACCUUCUCAAUCCCAUCACGGGCGCCCACGCCGCGCUCCCGCCCAUCUCCACUCUCCACCACGUCGAGAGCUGCGCCGACGCCGAAGGCCGCCUCAUGUACAACGUCUUCGACAGGGGCGAUCCCGAGCCGACGCCCUUGGACGCGCGCGAGGCCAGGGACUGCAUGUACCACCGUGUCACGCUCUCCUGCAGCCCGUCAGCUGGGAGCGCUUGCAUCGUGCUGCUGGUGCACAUGCCGGUCGGCGAGCUCUCUUAUGCCCGGCUCGGCGACAAGCGGUGGACGUGGAUCUCCCCCGACGACCACCAGCUCAUGAGCAUCAGCUGGGGCUUCAUGGACUCUUUCUACAACGAGGAUGAUGGUUUGUUCUAUGUGCUUCGCAGCCACAGGUCCGUCUUCACCCUGAAUUUCAAUGGGCCAUCCCUUGUUGUCAAAAAGAUCAUGCGAAGAGUUAGGAAGGGAGAUGAUCCUUCUAGCAUGUACAUCCUGCAAGCUCCAUGGGGUGAUAUUUUGCAAAUAUGGAGGUGGAGGAGCUACACUGACUCGUCAACACCUGUGGAGCUUCCUAGAGAUCUGCUGGGUCACAACGAAGAUGAGAUAGACCGGUAUAUUGAGCUGAGAACAACUGAAAUAAGGUCUAUAAGGUUGACCUUGAGAACCAGGCACUUGGGAAGUUGA
rnacentral:rRNA from 1 species